AAGUAGUACACUAUUAAACAAACUAAUAUAUUUUGGCGGCAUUUAUUCUUAUUAGAGGAGCUUGUUUUUUAAUCGACACCCCACGAUAAACCUUACUUAAUUUAUAAUCUUAUAUACCGCCAUACAUAAGAAAAAUAUAAAAUCAUUUUUUCAAAAUAAAAAUAAUACAAUAGGUAAAGGUGUAGAAUAUUGUUAAGAUAAAAUGUGCUACAUUAAAUUUGAUUUAAGGAAAAAAUCGAAAACUAAAUUGAAAAAGGAUUUAAAAGUAAUAGAUAAAUAAUACUUAUAUAUGAAUAAGAUAAAAAUGUGC
rnacentral:rRNA from 1 species